ACUUAGAUGAAGAUCAGAUCACAUUUUAUGACCAAUUUGUGCAGAAAUCCAUAUCAUUCCAAAGGGUUCACAUACUUUUUCUUGCAACUGUAUACAGUGAAUACAGUGGGAUAGUGAACCAAUUGUCUAGAAACAUUUUUUGUAUCUGAAUGAACUAAUACUUGCCCCCUUACACCCUUUUUAAAUGGGUCAUCCAGCCUUUUAAUAGUGAUGGCACUCUGAAUACGAACACCAUUCAGACUGAUAUAGGCAAUAAAAUGGCCGCUGAGCUCACCCUGAGCAGCCCCUUCAAACAGCAAAGAUGUAGUAGAUUUUUUCCAUUUUAGUUUUACCUUUUCUGUGCAUUGUCACAAUGGGGUUCCUGGGGCCCACCAGAGGAAAUUAUUCUCAAGGGCAAACUCCUACAUCAUGAAUAAAGUUUAAUAGGUUUUGAAUCAAAGAAAUAGACCGUAGAGGCAAGUGGCCCCAAAGGCAUCUCCAAAUCGGAUUUUUCUCCUGGACCUUAGUAGCCCACUAUGAGCCCCAGAGACUGGACUCACUGGAGGACCCUCUCAUGCUCUGAUGGACCAGUCCAACCCUCUUUCUGCGUAAGCCAUGUGAAAGUAAGUACUGUACAUUACUAACCAAGGGGGAAUGGUUAGUUGCAAACAAGCUAAACCCCCCUAUCUCCAGCCAUUAUGAGGUAAAUUGACUAAGUUUUUAACAUUAGGCCCACUUCCCCUAGCUGGUCUGACUAGUCAAUCUGUAAAUGAAUCAGCCUAUGUGUUCCAUGUUUCAUUUGAGCCUGUAGCCAUUGGGGUAUGCUGGAAGUUGUAGAUUUGCAACAGCUGGAGAGUCACAGGAUGCAGAUUUAGGCAGGAUACAUUUUACUGCUCAACCUCAUACAAAAAUAGUCCAGAAUAAAAAUGUCAAAA